CCUACGGGAGGCAGCAGUAGGGAAUAUUGCUCAAUGGGGGAAACCCUGAAGCAGCAACGCCGCGUGGAGGAUGAAGGUUUUCGGAUUGUAAACUCCUUUUGUUAGAGAAGAUAAUGACGGUAUCUAACGAAUAAGCACCGGCUAACUCCGUGCCAGCAGCCGCGGUAAUACGGAGGGUGCAAGCGUUACUCGGAAUCACUGGGCGUAAAGAGCGCGUAGGCGGGAUAGCAAGUCAGAUGUGAAAUCCUAGGGCUUAACCAUAGAACUGCAUUUGAAACUGUUAUUCUAGAGUAUGGGAGAGGGAGGUGGAAUGCUUGGUGUAGGGGUAAAAUCCGUAGAGAUCAAGAGGAAUACUCAGUGCGAAGGCGACCUGCUAGAACAUAACUGACGCUGAUGCGCGAAAGCGUGGGGAGCAAACAGGAUUAGAUACCCGGGUAGUC
rnacentral:rRNA from 1 species